UCCAAGGUGAAUACGCUGUAUGCAAGUCAUAGUUACUCCUCAAUAACUUAAUUAGGAUGGCGUGCAUUGUCUCAGUAAACUCAUCCAUCCACUCGCCCAAAAAUUUGUACUAAUCCAAUCUUGAACUCCAGCCACAUUCUGGCCAAGUCGUGCUACAAGACUGUCUGACCCAAUGGACAUCCAGAGUGGUUUUGCAUCUUCUUUGAAAAAUAACUGAGCAACGGGUUUUCGGGCGCGUUUUGCACAAGUGCAAGGUCUGCUAGCUUGUUAACUAAAGUUACUAGAUAGCAAUCUCUGCCUACUUCAGGGGUAACUAGAAGGCUAUUAUAUUAUAAGAGAUGAUUUGAGGCAAGCUCCCUCUCCUACCCUCAAACCAUCUCUUACUAUAUACUUCAUCAUCACUUCUGUUUGCAGCUGAUGAAUACUUGAUAAUUACUUGUAUUUUUCUUUAUUGACAUUAUUCUAAAAUACUAUAUUCUCCAACAGAAUAUUGAAUAAAAUAUAUUGAAUAUUUUUAGAUUUACUAGUAUAUAACAGAUCAUAGUGAGUGUGGUGGGUACUCUUAAGAAUGGGAAGCAAGUGCAGCAAGUGAUGGAUACUUGUUUAUCUCAAGAAGAAAUCUUUUCAACAUAUUCCUUGCAGUGUCUGAUAAAGUGAAUUUAGUUUGUUAGCAACAGAGUUACAUUAUCAACAGUAAAUAUAAUUAACCAGUUAAUUAGCAGCACAUAUGUAAAUCAACCGUAUCGGUUUAUCUAGGCUGCAAAUUUCUAAAAAGUAUACAGUAGUUAUGUUUAGGACAGCAGUGGCACAUCUCUUUCAUAAAAUGCUUGACAAAUGAUACAAUCAUAUAAAAUCUAAUUCUCGAAACCAAAAAGAGGCCCAGAGACAGGAUCACCACGAAUGAGAAUGUUGAAACUCUGCAUAUUGCAGAGGUAAGAACCUGGAAGAUUGGCCGAUCGAAUCAAAACGAUGAAUGGCAGCUCGGAAAAGGUAGAAAGCACCUUUUCAACAUGUUCUACUGAAGGGAUUUCUGCAACUCUUAGACGAUUGGGUGCAUAAGGUUAUUGGAAAACCGUGAGCUUAGUACUCAAGAGACGUUUUAAUCGCGUCGAAGAUUCUCGCAACGUCAGGCAUAUUGAACCGCUCGUAGAUCAAGCCAGGGUGGAUAUCCCAGCCAGUAACACGUUUUACAGGGGCCUCCAGGCUCAAAAAAGCGCCUUCCUGAAUGGUGGCGGCCACUUCUGCACCAAUACCAGCAUUCAACAUACUUUCAUGGACAACAAUUGCCCUUCCAGUUUUCCGGACACUCUCUAGGAUUGUCGACCUGUCCCAAGGAUAGAGGGUGCGGAGGUCAAUCAGUUCGAUGCUGACGCCUUUGAAAGCUUUUUCAGCCGCCUCAAUUGCUGCCGAGCAGAGAUAAAGUGGUUGACCAUAUGAUAUGACAGUCAAAUCUUUCCCCGGCUUGAUUACGUCUGCUUUGUCAAGAGGGAGAGUGUAUGCUUCGGUCGGGACAUGUUCCACUGCCGCACGAUAGAGGAUCUUGGGUUCCAUGAAUACUACAGGGUCAUUGCAUUCGAGAAUGGAAGAUAACAAAAGUCCCUUCGCUUGAGUGGGCGAUCGAGGCAUGACAACUCGUAGUCCUGGGAUGUGGGUGAAAAGUGAUUCUGGAGAUUGAG
rnacentral:sRNA from 2 species